rnacentral:rRNA from 1 species
CCUACGGGUGGCAGCAGUCGGGAAUAUUGCGCAAUGGAGGAAACUCUGACGCAGUGACGCCGCGUGCAGGAAGAAGGUUUUCGGAUUGUAAACUUCUGUUCUUAGUGAAGAAUAAUGACGGUAGCUAAGGAGCAAGCCACGGCUAACUACGUGCCAGCAGCCGCGGUAAUACGUAGGUGGCAAGCGUUGUCCGGAAUUACUGGGUGGAAAGGGAGCGCAGGAGGGAAGCCAAGUCAGCUGUGAAAACUACGGGCUUAACUUGUAGACUGCAGUUGAAACUGGUUUUCUUGAGUGAAGUAGAGGUUGGCGGAAUUCCGAGUGUAGCGGUGAAAUGCGUAGAUAUUCGGAGGAACACCGGUGGCGAAGGCGGCCAACUGGGCUUUAACUGACGCUGAGGCUCGAAAGUGUGGGGAGCAAACAGGAUUAGAUACCCUGGUAAUC